GGCAGUGAGCGAGAGGAGGGGGCUCGGCCGCGGGAGCCCCGCGGAGUGGGGGCAGCGGCUACUUCUGGUGCUGCUGCUGGGUGGCUGCUCCGGGCGCAUCCACCAGCUGGCGCUGACGGGGGAGAAGCGAGCGGACAUCCAGCUGAACAGCUUCGGUUUCUACACCAAUGGCUCUCUGGAGGUGGAGUUGAGCGUCCUGCGGCUGGGCCUCCGGGAGGCAGAAGAGAAGUCCCUGCUGACCCGGGAUUUCCAGGACUGCCCUCUCCAGAAAAACAGUAGCAGUUUCCUGGUCCUGUUCCUCAUCAACACCAAGGAUCUGCAGGUCCAGGUGCGGAAGUAUGGAGAGCAGAAGACGUUGUUUAUCUUUCCCGGGCUCCUCCCGGAAGCACCCUCCAAACCAGGGCUCCCGAAGCCACAGGCCACAGUCCCCCGCAAGGUGGAUGGCGGAGGGACCUCUGCAGCCAGCAAGCCCAAGUCAACACCCGCAGUGAUUCAGGGUCCUAGUGGGAAGGACAAGGACCUGGUGUUGGGCCUGAGCCACCUCAACAACUCCUACAACUUCAGUUUCCACGUGGUGAUCGGCUCUCAGGCGGAAGAAGGCCAGUACAGCCUGAACUUCCACAACUGCAACAAUUCAGUGCCAGGAAAGGAGCAUCCAUUCGACAUCACG
rnacentral:lncRNA from 1 species